rnacentral:rRNA from 1 species
GAUGAACGCUGGCGGCGUGCCUAACACAUGCAAGUCGAACGGGGUUCUAUAUCGGAAGUUUUCGGAUGGAAGAGAUAGGACCCAGUGGCGGACGGGUGAGUAACACGUGGGUAACCUGCCUCAUAGAGGGGGAUAACAGAGAGAAAUCACUGCUAAUACCGCAUAAGCACACAGGAUCGCAUGAUCCAGUGUGAAAAGAUUUAUCGCUAUGAGAUGGACUCGCGUCUGAUUAGCUGGUUGGCGGGGUAAAGGCCCACCAAGGCGACGAUCAGUAGCCGAUCUGAGAGGAUGGCCGGCCACAUUGGGACUGAGACACGGCCCAGACUCCUACGGGAGGCAGCAGUGGGGGAUAUUGCACAAUGGAGGGAACUCUGAUGCAGCAACGCCGCGUGAGUGAAGAAGUAUUUCGGUAUGUAAAGCUCUAUCAGCAGGGAAGAUGAUGACAGUACCU